AUAACUCAUUUGACCCAUCAACU
rnacentral:snRNA from 1 species